rnacentral:rRNA from 1 species
UACGGGGGGAGCAAGCGUUGUUCGGAUUUACUGGGCGUAAAGGGCGCGUAGGCGGCGUGACAAGUCACUUGUGAAAUCUCCGGGCUUAACUCGGAACGGUCAAGUGAUACUGUCGUGCUAGAGUACAGAAGGGGCAACUGGAAUUCUCGGUGUAGCGGUGAAAUGCGUAGAUAUCGAGAGGAACACCUGCGGCGAAGGCGGGCUGCUGGGCUGAUACUGACGCUGAGGAGCGAAAGCGUGGGGAGCGAACAGG